GUACCGGGGAUCAAACUCAGAACCUUGCACUUGCAAGGCAGGUGCGCCAUCACUGAGCUAAAUCCCUGGCUUUAAACCAUUUUUGAAGGAUCUUUCUUCUGGACUCAUCUGCAAGAAGACCUCACCUCCUAUACAAACAACCAGGUGUGCACAUGAGUGGAUUAGUCCAUCAAUGACUAUAAGAUGGAAGGAAGGCAGCCUUUGGGAAGAUGACAACUCUACACAGUGACUCCUCAGUUGUGCUGUUAGUUCUGAGGUGGAUCAGGAGCAGCCAUGCAGAAGAAGGGGAGAAAGGAGGCAAGAGCAUGCCAGCUCUUGUGUCACUAUGGACACAAGUCUAGAAAGACAGACCAUCUGGUUCCCAAAUCCUGCUCCUCAGCUCCCCACAGGAGCCAUUAUUAACCAUUAUUAAGAAUUUCUUACAAUUGCUUCUGGG
rnacentral:lncRNA from 1 species